UACAGAGGGUGCGAGCGUUGUUCGGAAUUAUUGGGCGUAAAGCGCUUGUAGGCGGCUUGUUAAGUUCCGUGUGAAAUCCCCAGGCUUAACCUGGGAAGUGCGCGGAAAACUGGCGAGCUUGAGUGCCGGAGAGGGUCGCGGAAUUCCCGGUGUAGAGGUGGAAUACGUAGAUAUCCGGAGGAACACCAGCGGCGAAGGCGGCUUUCUGGUCCGAUACUGACGCUGAGGUGCGAAAGCGUGGGGAGCGAUCCGG
rnacentral:rRNA from 1 species